AGCAAAUACAGAGCUGUGUUUGCCAAACGAACAUGCAGAUGUCUUCGCGAGGUAGAAUGCCUAUUACUGGCAGUCAGUGUACAGGCAAUUUCAUAAACACCACACGCUUUGAACUGUCCACGUAUAUGCUGCUACUAUAUAUUUGCUUAAAAGUUCCACAACUAUGAGACUAAAAACAGAAGCAGAAUCUGUCUGCCCAUAACAAAAACUUGGACUAUGCAAUGUACGUUUCUGCAUCAUGCCUGUAGAAACUCGUUAUUUCUUUUCUUAUAUAUUAAAGCCGGACAGAAACGUGAACGAUGAGGCCAUCCACGUCGUCAAAAAAAAUCGGGCCGUCCGAUCGCCAAUCAAAGGUUGAUGUCUCCUCUUGCUCUCUCGCUCGCUCCGCCUCUUUCCUCUCGCUCCCUCUGCUUCUGGAUACUUCCGAUGCCUCUCCUCGCUCCCUCGGUCGCUGCUGAUGCGCCACGCCGCCACCGGCGCCUCAUCGGCAGGAAUCAUAUGGACAGCCCAGAGGUGGUGGCCUCCGCGUCCCCGGCUGCGGCGGCGAGCGAGCGCCAGGAGAGGCCCGCGAGGCUGCGGCGGAAGAUCUCGUCCGCGUUCUGCGCCUGCAUGGGCCAUCCCCCGGCGUCGCACGUGCAGCAGUAGGCAUGCUACGAACUAACCGUGGAUCGCGUGUGGACGGAUGGGUGUGAUGUGCAUUUGGUCGGCGCGCCGUCUCCACACGAGGUGCAUGGUCGUCUACCGUACACGGUGUACCAACAGGAGCCAGUUGUGUGCAUAUCGCUACAGCUUGCGACUUGCGAGGGUGACGAACUGACGAUUGAAUGCUGUCGCUCCGGUUUCUGGGAAUGAUCGGAUAAGUUUACUUCCAGAAUUAUAUAAUACAUCUUAUGGAUUAUAUAAGCAUC